rnacentral:miRNA from 1 species
AUAGACUCUACAUGUAUUUC